AGCCUCUCGAGCCAACAGCAGCAUCAUAGCCGAGUGAAGAUGGCGGCUCAGAGAGUGAUGCUGUCAACGAGAGUUUGAGUUCACCUCUCCUUUUUAAACUUAUGAAACCUUUGCGGAUCCUUUACGGAUAGCUGUAUCAAAGAAAACUGUAUUGGUCUUUGGCUCUGCUGAUGAACUCUCUUCAGUAAGGUGUCUGAACACACACUAA
rnacentral:lncRNA from 1 species